rnacentral:rRNA from 1 species
AUUUUGGACAAUGGGGGCAACCCUGAUCCAGCCAUCCCGCGUGUGCGAUGAAGGCCUUCGGGUUUUAAAGCCCUUUUUGCAGGAAAGAAACGGCACGGGCUAAUAUCCUUUUCAACUGUCGGUACCUGCAGAAUAAGCACCGGCUAACUACGCGCUGGCAGCCGCGGUAAUACGUAGGGUGCAAGCGUUAAUCGGAAUUACUGGGCGUAAAGCGUGCGCAGGCGGUUCGGAAAGAAAGAUGUGAAAUCCCAGGGCUUAACCUUGGAACUGCAUUUUUAACUACCGGGCUAGAGUGUGUCAGAGGGAGGUGGAAUUCCGCGUGUAGCAGUGAAAUGCGUAGAUAUGCGGAGGAACACCGAUGGCGAAGGCAGCCUCCUGGGAUAACACUGACGCUCAUGCACGAAAGCGUGGGGAGCAAACAGG